rnacentral:rRNA from 1 species
CAGGCUUAACACAUGCAAGUCGAGGGGCAUCAGGAAGAAAGCUUGCUUUCUUUGCUGGCGACCGGCGCACGGGUGAGUAACACGUAUCCAACCUGCCCUUUACUCGGGGAUAGCCUUUCGAAAGAAAGAUUAAUACCCGAUAGCAUAAUGAUUCCGCAUGGUUUCAUUAUUAAAGGAUUCCGGUAAAGGAUGGGGAUGCGUUCCAUUAGGUUGUUGGUGAGGUAACGGCUCACCAAGCCUUCGAUGGAUAGGGGUUCUGAGAGGAAGGUCCCCCACGUUGGAACUGAGACACGGUCCAAACUCCUACGGGAGGCAGCAGUGAGGAAUAUUGGUCAAUGGGCGCUAGCCUGAACCAGCCAAGUAGCGUGAAGGAUGAAGGCUCUAUGGGUCGUAAACUUCUUUUAUAUAAGAAUAAAGUGCAGUAUGUAUACUGUUUUGUAUGUAUUAUAUGAAUAAGGAUCGGCUAACUCCGUGCCAGCAGCCGCGGUAAUACGGAGGAUCCGAGCGUUAUCCGGAUUUAUUGGGUUUAAAGGGAGCGUAGGUGGACUGGUAAGUCAGUUGUGAAAGUUUGCGGCUCAACCGUAAAAUUGCAGUUGAUACUGUCAGUCUUGAGUACAGUAGAGGUGGGCGGAAUUCGUGGUGUAGCGGUGAAAUGCUUAGAUAUCACGAAGAACUCCGAUUGCGAAGGCAGCUCACUGGACUGCAACUGACACUGAUGCUCGAAAGUGUGGGUAUCAAACAGGAUUAGAUACCCUGGUAGUCCACACAGUAAACGAUGAAUACUCGCUGUUUGCGAUAUACAGUAAGCGGCCAAGCGAAAGCAUUAAGUAUUCCACCUGGGGAGUACGCCGGCAACGGUGAAACUCAAAGGAAUUGACGGGGGCCCGCACAAGCGGAGGAACAUGUGGUUUAAUUCGAUGAUACGCGAGGAACCUUACCCGGGCUUAAAUUGCAGUGGAAUGAUGUGGAAACAUGUCAGUGAGCAAUCACCGCUGUGAAGGUGCUGCAUGGUUGUCGUCAGCUCGUGCCGUGAGGUGUCGGCUUAAGUGCCAUAACGAGCGCAACCCUUAUCUUUAGUUACUAACAGGUUAUGCUGAGGACUCUGGAGAGACUGCCGUCGUAAGAUGUGAGGAAGGUGGGGAUGACGUCAAAUCAGCACGGCCCUUACGUCCGGGGCUACACACGUGUUACAAUGGGGGGUACAGAAGGCAGCUAGCGGGUGACCGUAUGCUAAUCCCAAAAGCCUCUCUCAGUUCGGAUCGAAGUCUGCAACCCGACUUCGUGAAGCUGGAUUCGCUAGUAAUCGCGCAUCAGCCACGGCGCGGUGAAUACGUUCCCGGGCCUUGUACACACCGCCCGUCAAGCCAUGGGAGCCGGGGGUACCUGAAGUACGUAACCGCAAGGAUCGUCCUAGGGUAAAACUGGUGACUGGGGCUAAGUC